rnacentral:rRNA from 1 species
AUUGAACGCUGGCGGCAUGCCUUACACAUGCAAGUCGAACGGCAGCACGGGAGCAAUCCUGGUGGCGAGUGGCGAACGGGUGAGUAAUAUAUCGGAACGUGCCCAGUCGUGGGGGAUAACGUAGCGAAAGCUACGCUAGUACCGCAUACGAUCUAUGGAUGAAANCGGGGGAUCGCAAGACCUCGCGCGAUUGGAGCGGCCGAUAUCAGAUUAGGUAGUUGGGUGAGGUAAAGGGCUCACCAAGCCGACGAUCUGUAGCUGGUCUGAGAGGACGACCAGCCACACUGGGACUGAGACACGGCCCAGACUCCUACGGGAGGCAGCAGUGGGGAAUUUUGGACAAUGGGCGCAAGCCUGAUCCAGCAAUGCCGCGUGCAGGAUGAAGGCCUUCGGGUUGUAAACUGCUUUGUACGGAACGAAACGGUGAGCUCUAAUACAGUUUGCUAAUGACGGUACCGUAAGAAUAAGCACCGGCUAACUACGUG